GCCGGGAUGGCUGAGUGGUUAAAGCGACGGCCUCGAGAGCCGUUGGGCGUCACGCCCUCGUGGGUUCGAAUCCCACUCCCGGCGCCA
rnacentral:tRNA from 4 species